AGUCAGAGAGAACAUCUCUAGGACACACCACUCUCUCUUCUUUACAAAUCAUUAGCAUAGCCCAGAUUUCCAGUUCCAGCUUUUGGUCAAAGGUCUUCCCCAUUGCCUCCAGCCACAAUUUAAGCUCCUAGAAGAAGACCAGGCUGUCAUCCGGGACCAAGAGUACCCUGUGCUUCGUAAAUCAAAUUCAACAUUAAACUGCACUGCAAACAAAAAGUUGUACACAGUUGAAAUGCUGGUGAAUGGGACUUAAUGAGCUCCAUAUGCCUGACCUCUGGGAAGAAGUGAUUUGGGGAACUGUAGCUGGAACUGGAAGAGUCCAAGGGCAUCUGCAUCUGGUAUGCUGAGAUGUCAGUGUGCAUCACUGAGAAGCUUCAUUGUGAUACAAGUGACCAAUGUGAUACAAGCUGAAGGCAGCCAAUGUGAUACAAGCUGAAGGCAAUAGGAUGAAGAUUGAGUAUCUAGAAACCCAGAGACAUUUUGUGGCUUUGAUAGUGGAGGUCAUUAUGCUAAAGAUAGUGGAGCAGCUGAAGAAGGAGUUGCAGUGUCUGAUGACUGUGGGGUUGCAGUACCAACCCUGGACCAUCCAGCUCUAGACUUUCCUUUUUGUUUAAGUGUAGUAACAUACCUUGUUUAAGCCUCUGUUAUGUCUGUUUUCUGAUAUGACCAGUUUAUUGUAGAUUCUAACUGAGACACCUAGCAAUAUUGGUGGAAUUGUGAAGUUCAGUGGUCUGAGGGUGGUGAUGUCAGAAUCAGAAACCACAGUAAUUAAUCAUGUUUGAGUAACACUGCGCAACCCCCCCCCCACCCCCCGCCCAAGCUG